rfam:Frankia asymbiotica strain NRRL B-16386 contig_128, whole genome shotgun sequence.
GGGGGUAGGCCCUCCGGAGUCGCCCAUGCGGGGGGAGGCUCCAAACCGCCUCGAGGUGCGUUAGCUGAAGACUGUCGUGCUGAACGUCGGGGAAAAGUCCGGAUGCUAUCCGGGCAGGU